rnacentral:tmRNA from 1 species
CCACUUGCAAAUCGAUGAAUUUCAAUCUAAAUGUGAGAUGUUCCAUUUGGAACUAUGGACAUAAACGCGCUCGUAAUAAGCGGAUCGGACCCGGGGGCGGUACCCGG